rnacentral:rRNA from 1 species
GACGAACGCUGGCGGCGUGCUUAACACAUGCAAGUCGAGCGGAAAGGCCACUUCGGUGGUACUCGAGCGGCGAACGGGUGAGUAACACGUGAGUAAUCUGCCCCUGGCUUUGGGAUAGCCACCGGAAACGGUGAUUAAUACCGGAUACGACCACUUCUCGCAUGGGAUGGUGGUGGAAAGUUUUUCGGCCAGGGAUGUGCUCGCGGCCUAUCGGCUUGAUGGUGAGGUAAUGGCUCACCAUGGCUUCGACGGGUAGCCGACCUGAGAGGGUGACCGGUCAGACUGGGACUGGGACACGGCCCAGACUCCUACGGGAGGCAGCAGUGGGGAAUAUUGGACAAUGGGCGGAAGCCUGAUCCAGCAACGCCGCGUGAGGGAUGACGGCCUUCGGGUUGUAAACCUCUUUCAGUACCGACGAAGCGCAAGUGACGGUAGGUACAGAAGAAGCACCGGCCAACUACGUGCCAGCCGCCGCUGUAAAAC